UGGGGAAUAUUGGACAAUGGGCGCAAGCCUGAUCCAGCCAUGCCGCGUGAGUGAUGAAGGCCCUAGGGUUGUAAAGCUCUUUCACCGGUAACGAUAAUGACGGUAACCGGAGAAGAAGCCCCGGCUAACUUCGUGCCAGCAGCCGCGGUAAUACGAAGGGGGCUAGCGUUGUUCGGAUUUACUGGGCGUAAAGCGCACGUAGCCGGACUAUUAAGUCAGGGGUGAAAUCCCGGGGCUCAACCCCGGAACUGCCUUUGAUACUGGUAGUCUUGAGUUCGAUAGAGGUGAGUGGAAGUCCGAGUGUAGAGGUGAAAUUCGUAGAUAUUCGGAGGAACACCAGUGGCGAAGGCGGCUCACUGGCUCGAUACUGACGCUGAGGUGCGAAAGCGGGGGGAGCAAACAGG
rnacentral:rRNA from 1 species